ACGGGUGAGUAACGCGUAGAUAACCUGUCUUCAUGGUCUGGAAGUAAUAACGGCCGAAAGGGGGUAACGUAAUACCGGAUAUUCUUUGCUUUUCAUAAGUUAUGCAAGCAAAGGUGGCCUCUGCAUAUGCUACUGCAUGAAGAGGGGUCUGCGUACCAUUAGCUAGUAGGUGGGUAAUGGCCUACCUAGGCGACGAUGGUUAGCGGGUCUGAGAGGAUGAUCCGCCACACUGGCACUGGAACACGGGCCAGACUCCUACGGGAGGCAGCAGUGAGGAAUAUUGCGCAAUGGGGGAAACCCUGACGCAGCGACGCCGCGUGAGUGAGGAAAAGGCCUUCGGGUCGUAAAGCUCUGUCAAGAGGAAAGAAGUGUACAAUGGCUAAUACCUGUUGUAUUUGACGGUACCUCUAAAGGAAGCACCGGCUAACUCCGUGCCAGCAGCAGC
rnacentral:rRNA from 1 species